CAGAUCUUCUCGGCUUAGCGGCUGAAGACUGACGCUGCCCGAUCGCCUCAGAAGCCCCCUAGACCAUCACCGACGCUGAGCUUCGGGUAACUCUCACAGUGGAAGAUGAAGAAACUGGGGCUCUGAAUGGCAUAUUAACGCGUGCAGCUCCAGACAGCGAGGAAGUGAUGGCAACUCUAUCCGAACUCAAAUCUGCCAGACCUAUACCAGUAGGUGCCUGUGUGCAGUUGGGGACUCACCUCUGCCAGUGCUGGCAUGAGCUAGCUGUCUUGAACUGAAAACAGACACUCAAAGAUGGGCUGUGGGAUCCCAGAGAGGUGGCAGAAUGGUCAAAGCUAUGAAGCCAACAGCUGCUGCCAACAAGAAAGUCCUGAGCCCUGAGUGAUUGUAAUUUAAACUUAAUGCUGGGAGUGGGUGUUUAUUUUGGAGGAGUGGGCUGCUUAUUUUUGGUUUGGGGACUUGUUCAUUCAUCUUUUCUCAGCGGCGCCUACUGCUGCCCUGGCCCGAAGUUAAAGCUCAAUAAAUCACUGUUGCACAACUGA
rnacentral:lncRNA from 1 species